CGUGUAGGCGGUCGGCCAAGUCUGAUGUGAAAGCCCGGGGCUUAGCUCCGGAAGUGCGUCGGAAACUAGCCGGCUGGAGCGCGAUAGAGGAGGGUGGAAUUCCUGGUGUAGCGGUGAAAUGCGUAGAUAUCAGGAGGAACACCGGCGGCGAAGGCGGCCCUCUGGAUCGUUGCUGACGCUGAGACGCGAAAGCGUGGGGAGCAAACAGGAUUAGAUACCCUGGUAGUCCACGCUGUAAACUAUGGGUACUAGGUGUUCGGGGUAUUGACCCCCUGAGUGCCGCAGCUAACGCAUUAAGUACCCCGCCUGGGGACUACGGCCGCAAGGUUAAA
rnacentral:rRNA from 1 species